GACGAACGCUGGCGGCGUGCUUAACACAUGCAAGUCGAACGGAAAGGCCCUGCUUUUGUGGGGUGCUCGAGUGGCGAACGGGUGAGUAACACGUGAGUAACCUGCCCUUGACUUUGGGAUAACUUCAGGAAACUGGGGCUAAUACCGGAUAGGAGCUCCUGCUGCAUGGUGGGGGUUGGAAAGUUUCGGCGGUUGGGGAUGGACUCGCGGCUUAUCAGCUUGUUUGUGGGGUAGUGGCUUACCAAGGCUUUGACGGGUAGCCGGCCUGAGAGGGUGACCGGCCACAUUGGGACUGAGAUACGGACCAGACUCCUACGGGAGGCAGCAGUGGGGAAUAUUGCACAAUGGGCGGAAGCCUGAUGCAGCAACGCCGCGUGCGGGAUGACGGCCUUCGGGUUGUAAACCGCUUUCGCCUGUGACGAAGCGUGAGUGACGGUAAUGGGUAAAGAAGCACCGGCUAACUACGUG
rnacentral:rRNA from 1 species